UACGAAGGGGGCUAGCGUUGUUCGGAAUUACUGGGCGUAAAGCGCGCGCAGGCGGUUUUCCAAGUCAGUGGUGAAAGCCCGGAGCUCAACUCCGGAACUGCCAUUGAAACUGGCGAACUUGAGUACGAGAGAGGUGAGUGGAAUUCCCAGUGUAGAGGUGAAAUUCGUAGAUAUUAGGAAGAACACCGGUGGCGAAGGCGGCUAUCUGGCUCGGUACUGACGCUCAGGCGCGAAAGCGUGGGGAGCAAAAGGG
rnacentral:rRNA from 1 species